AUUCAACCGUGCGUACCUUCUACCAUUUCACUAUAGCCGUAUCUCCCACUGUUAACACCAACUCAUCCUGAAUCAAAUGAUAGCACCGUGAGUUUGAUUUGAAUACUGCUUCAGCCUAUCGAUGAAGUUUAUUCAUUCCGCCGAAAUCUCUACCAUGCGACCGCAAUUUUACUUGUCUGUUGUGAGAAAUAUAUUUUUCUUUUUUAACGACCGUAAUUUCCUUGGUUAAAUGAGGUUAUUCAGUAUCUUCCUCCUCUUGAAGAUAUUGCUACAGCAAAAAUCAACUCCAACGAAAGUACUAUUGAUGUUGAUACUUUGCAAACAUUCAAGAUUCUAAACAAAUUCGGAUUCAAGAAACAACUCUAAUUAAUGGUCCCCGUUGAUUGUGAAGCAAAUGAUGAAUGGCUUUUCAAACAUGAAAUAAAUAAGGGUGAAAUGAAAUAAAUGAAAAACAUACUUAUUUUAUGUUAGGGAUGUGUUUUCUCCCCAUAUUUAGUUAUAAUUUUUUUGCUAUUUCAACUCUCUUGACAUAUGUUAUGUUAACCAUUGCAUGUGAAGCAAAUGAUGAAUGGAUUUUCAAACAGGAAAUAAAUAAGA